rnacentral:rRNA from 1 species
ACGCGCGCUGGCGGCGUGCUUAACACAUGCCAGUCGAACGGAAAGGCCCUGCUUUUGUGGGGUGCUCGAGUGGCGAACGGGUGAGUAACACGUGAGUAACCUGCCCUUGACUUUGGGAUAACUUCAGGAAACUGGGGCUAAUACCGGAUAGGAGCUCCUGCUGCAUGGUGGGGGUUGGAAAGUUUCGGCGGUUGGGGAUGGACUCGCGGCUUAUCAGCUUGUUGGUGGGGUAGUGGCUUACCAAGGCUUUGACGGGUAGCCGGCCUGAGAGGGUGACCGGCCACAUUGGGACUGAGAUACGGCCCAGACUCCUACGGGAGGCAGCAGUGGGGAAUAUUGCACAAUGGGCGGAAGCCUGAUGCAGCAACGCCGCGUGCGGGAUGACGGCCUUCGGGUUGUAAACCGCUUUCGCCUGUGACGAAGCGUGAGUGACGGUAAUGGGUAAAGAAGCACCGGCUAACUACGUG